AUUGAACGCUGGCGGCAGGCCUAACACAUGCAAGUCGAGCGGAAUGAUGAAGAAGCUUGCUUCUUCUGAUUUUAGCGGCGGACGGGUGAGUAACACGUGGGCAACCUACCUUGUAGAUUGGGAUAACUCCGGGAAACCGGGGCUAAUACCGAAUAAUCCAUUUUGCUUCAUGGCGAGAUGUUGAAAGACGGUUUCGGCUGUCACUAUAAGAUGGGCCCGCGGCGCAUUAGCUAGUUGGUAGGGUAAUGGCCUACCAAGGCGACGAUGCGGUAGCCGACCUGAGAGGGUGAUCGGCCACACUGGGACUGAGACACGGCCCAGACUCCUACGGGAGGCAGCAGUAGGGAAUCUUCCACAAUGGACGAAAGUCUGAUGGAGCAACGCCGCGUGAGUGAAGAAGGUUUUCGGAUCGUAAAACUCUGUUGUAAGGGAAGAACACGUACGAGAGUAACUGCUCGUACCUUGACGGUACCUUAUUAGAAAGCCACGGCUAACUACGUG
rnacentral:rRNA from 1 species